GACGAGUGGCCCUAGCGUUAGUCGGAAUUACUGGGCUUAAAGGGUGCGUAGGCGGACCUGUAAGUGCUUUGUGAAAGCCCCUCGCUCAACGAGGGAACCGCAGUGCAUACUGCAGGUCUUGAAGAAGUUAGAGGCCGGUGGAACGAUAGGUGGAGCGGUGGAAUGCGUAGAGAUCUAUCGGAACGCCAAUGGUGAAGACAACCGGCUGGGACUUUCUUGACGCUGAGGCACGAAAGCGUGGGGAG
rnacentral:rRNA from 1 species